CCAAAUAAGGGCUUGUUUAUCACAAUGCUUUUGGGUGGCAGCUGCGGCUCUCCACACCUGCUGCUCAGUUCCCAGCUGCUGGGAAUCUCAGUCGCAUGCAUCGGGGAAUGUGAAGAUAAAUCUGUUUGCCAAUCUUCCCCAGCAUAGUUGUCCACCACUGCACAGGCUCUAAAGAGGAGGUUUUUGAGGAUGCCUUCAGGAUUGGCUUUGGAAGUGAGUCAGCAGAGCUGAUGGCUGUGGAAGAGGCUCAAACAGAGGAGGUCACAAAGGGAGCCUUUUUUGCAGUUCCAACACAGAUUCCCCAGGACAACACUGCAGCUGACCAUGGGCUGAAGCUUCCUAAACAGACGAAACGUGUGUUUAUCUACUGAUCACUCUGGGUGAAUGGUAGUCAUGGAGGCCGAGUAACACUGUGGGCUUUGCACCCCGCCCUGCCUGGGAUAACUUGGGAACUUCGUGCUGGGGGAUGCCUGAAAACACAAUAAAAGUGAAGGUUGAGUCUGUGAUUUCUGCAAACACAGCCUCAAAUGAAGAAUUGGCUACCACAGACUGCCCUGGCCCACGACGUGCCCAUCCGGGGAUGAAAUGGCUACCACAGACUGCCCUGGCCCACGACGUGCCCAUCCGGGGAUGAGACUAACCCAAGCUUUCGUGUGGCAUGAAGGGCAACACCCCCUCACAAGCAGAAGCAUGCAGGGAAGAAAGCAUCAGGGCAAAGACAGUUCCUGGAUGAACACCUACUUGUCAUUGGUGAAGAUGUAGGCAACCACAUCCUUCAAGGCAGCGAGCAGAAUUCCCACCAGGAGCGCACAGACACCUGGGAAAUAAGGAGGGCUCACAGGAGACAACAGUUCUCCAGAACAUGACUACGCUUCUCAGGGGAGAUCUGUGUCAGUUAAUCAAGAAAGGGUGAAAUUUCAUUCCCAAAGCAGAAGCACGGUGACCAAAUCAUGAGGGCCCUGCGGCCAGGCAUGGGACAGAGAAGCCGAGAAUAGCUGAGAUGAAAAACCCUGGACACCUCUUCCUGGCAAGUGGGCACAGCAAGUGAAGUGUUCGCUUUACAGAUCCCUACUCCAUCAAGGAAGACACCCUGAGGAUCAAAGUCGGGUAAGGUGAGCUUCCUGCGUGGCAGGGGUCUCAGGAGUCAAGUGUGCGAAGGGGAGCAGGACAGCUUUGAGGACAACUGAAGGAGGCAGUGUCCACGGUAGGUCACUGCUGCUGUCUGAACUAUAAACAUUACCAGAA